GGCCAGAGUAGUGACCAGUUCAAUUUGGGUACGUUUUUCAUCCGGCUGUGAAAAUACUGCUCCUACACCUUGACAGGUUAAAGCAGCAAACAAGCUGGUAAGCUUUAUCAUGUUUUCCUCUAAAGAGAUUUCUGCAUUUCUAGCUUAGGGAUAUGAUAGGCCCUAUGCACUUAUUUGUUGUCUCAGUGUCAUUUAAGACUGUUCCUCUAAAUGUCAUUAUUUGACUGAUAUUUGUUGUGUUUCUGGAAGUUAUUUUGUCAUUAAUGAUUCCAGGUACAUAGGUUUCACAAGGUAGGAGUGUACCUCCUGCUACUUCCCAGCAAGAGGAAGAAGGAUAACAUUUUGUUGUCAACUGCACUGUCCUCACAGUGGUAUGAUGAAUCAGACCUCAAUGGCAGCAAUCCAGAGGUUGUAUGAGGCAAUUGUGAAAGGUAUUUGGACAGAAAUAUGUAUGUUUGUCUACCUUAAAACCCUAUCCCUCAACCACCACAUCUGUCAGACUGUAAAAAACGAAUUAUUCCACUUAUGCAAAUUCGCCAAAUUCAGCCCCUCCUGUCCUGCUGGCCGACACUCACAUCCAUGCUUUCAUCUUCUCCCGAAUAGACUAUAGCAACUCACUACUCCCUGGCACGAACACAAACUCCCUCUAUAAGCUCCAAAUGGUUAAAAACUGAGCAGCCCAUCUUCUAACCCACACUAAAUCAUCCUCGCAGCAUAUCACCCCCAUCCUCUGAACUCCACUGGCUCCCUGUCUCCCACCGCAUUAAUUACAAGAUCCUCCUGACCUAAAAAGCUCUCCCCCACCUUGCUACCCCUUACCUCUCUGACCUUCUUCUCUCCUACAGUACCAGCCCUCAUGCUCUCUCCGCUCAACCACAGUUGGCUACCUUGUCAUCCCCAGGUCCAAGCUCCUGAGUUUCAGUGACAGGGCCUUCUCCAGGGUGCUCCUAGGCUCUGGAACUCCCCCCAGCCAUCCGUGACUUGAGUCCAUCGUCAUCUUUCAGUCCCGCCUAAAAAACCCACCUCUUCACCAUGGCCUACCCUUACCUCCAACUCCACCAUUCUCACACUCACCUCUUCUGAUUCACACACUCGCACACACUCACACAUAGGCGCAACACCUGCUCGCUCACUCACCUGCUGUCUCACACAUCACAUCCAUUCCUUGAGCCCUUCUUGCCUCUAUUUAGCCCCAUUUAUACCUGGUUCUAACAUGUAUACUAUGUCCUGAUCUUGUCCAGUCUGAUUGUGCCCACAUUUUCAGAAAGGUGUAGAGGAUUAAAAGAAGCAUUGUGAUCAGAUCUUCCUGACCACGUCUGGAGUUGACAGUGAAACCAUUUAAAUCAUCCUGCCUUCUAAAAUCAUUGACAGGUGGCACCAUUGACUUAUGGAAUAUAUAUAUAUCUUAAAAUAAAUAAGUAUUAUUUUGAAAGAAUAUCUGUCCAAGAAUUGACAUACAAGGUGGGACCAGUAAAUCUGUUCACAAUACGGACACAGUGGACGGAUAAGACCGUGUAGACAGACGCAUUUCUAAAAAUGUGGGCACAAUCAGAAUGUGGACAAGAUCAGGACAAAGGACACAUGUUCGCACCAAAGUAUUUAGUUGAAUGUUUUUCUUCAUUUUGUUAAGUCUGUUGUUUAGUUAGAUUGUUGUUAGUUUCUACAAUUGAAUCCUACAGACGAAGAACCAUAUAUGUGACAUGAAAAAUCAUUAUUGGACACCCUUUUUCUAUAGUGAACCGGUUUCACAAGCAUUCCACGUGCUAAUUAACAAUAAUUUUAAAGAGGCUCUCGUGGAAUAACCGUUUAUGUACACCACUCAGAAUGGACGGGCAAAAAAAUCGCCGAAAUGUGGGAAAGAAACGUAAAACAAAACUAGAAGAAUGGGAAAGACAGGCAAAAGAAGAUCUUGCGGGAAAACCCUAUACAAAUCGUAAGGGUCAAGAAAAAACUGGGAAAAGCUGUCCAAAAGAGGGAAGAGCGUGUUCCACGACGUGCAGAAAGGAUUGUGGAAAGUUGACUGAUGAGCGCAAGCUGCAUCUGUUCAACAGUUUUUACACUGUCCCAUACGAUAAACAACAAGCAUUGAUUCUCUCAGGCUUAGAACAGGUUAGAAAUAAGACAACACUUAUUAUUAUAAUAGCUAUAUUGAACACUUGCAUAGUUUAACUUUGACAGCAAUGAUACGUACGUUAACUCUAAAAGUGCAGUGUUACACAAUGGUGCAAUACAAAGUCAUCCUGUGUAUAGGUUGGGAGUGUGAAAGAUGGAGGUCCUGAUCAAGCAAUCCCCUGAAUGUGCUACAGUAUAUUAAAUUCUGAAUUUAUCAUUGUCAAUUUUUAUUGCAGCAUGAGGUGAAACUGAGACGUAAACCUGAGGAUACAAAGGAGAACAAACGACGGAAACAAACCUUCAAAUACCAUGUACAGCAGGCCAGAGAUUGAAUGUGUGCAAGGUCACUUUCAUGUCUGUUCCAGCUAACCAACAGCCGUCUUCAGGCAAGUGAAAAUAUGAAUUAAUGUCUAUGAAUAUAAUUUACAAACAUAUUGUAUUCUCUGUACUAGUUUUUAAGAACCUGCUAAUUGAAAUGUCAUUGUUUUGGUUGUUCAGGAAAAGUUAGGAGUUCAAGCUGAGGCAGGUGAGGUUGCAGCGUCUCCAAAUCAGGCUACUGAGGCUAGGUCUCCUUUAGAAGAGGAAGCAUAGCAAUGGGUAAUGCGCUAUGGAUUCCAGCCUGGAUUAUUUCACUGUAGCAGUGCUCUAAACAAUCUUCUAAACAUUAACAUAGAAUAUCGAAUGGAUGAAUAGCGAAUUCUGAGACAAAAAUAAAAAAAUGUUUAUUACUUUUAAACAAAAUUAUGGUAACGAAGCUGUCCAACUACAACCUGAGCAUUGAGGACUGAGUGCCGAUUACCUUCCCCCUCCCACCGGACGGCACUGGCCUAAUUCUCGCCGCCCUACAGGACCCCCCAGCCACAAACGGCAAUGGCGUGACCGGGAUUUGUACCCCGGUUAUGAAGAGAAGAUUGGAGAAGAGGAAGAUUGCAGUUGAAAGUGAGUUGCACCAUCAAAGGCCUACACACAGCUUCAAAGUGACACUGAGUGGGCUAAAGCCAAUGCUGACUGCCAUGUCAUUUCUGUGGAUCAACAGGGGGUGAUGUACACCCAUAAUCUGACCCACUCCAAUGUCUACUACCAGCGGCAGCUGUCAAAUUUUAACCUUUGCAUCCAGGAACUUGGAAAAGAAGAUCCUGCAUACAUGUGUGUUUGGCAUGAGGGGGUUGCACACCGAGGGUCCAUUGAGGUGGCAAGCUGCACAUUGAAGUGGGUGAAGACAAAAUUCACGCCACUCACCAAACCAGAGGUGCGCAAGUUGAUCAUCUUCAGUGACAGAUGCUGUGGGCAGAAUAACAACUGUCGGAUGCUCAAUCUGAUGUCGAUGCUCGUCUCUAUGGGUAACUUUCCCCAAGUUGAGCAGAAGUUCAUGGUCUCUGGUCAUUCUUUUCUUCCUUGUGAUUGAUCUUUUGCCACCAUUGAGAAGAGGCGCAAGGUGUUAGUCCUUCAUAGACCUGAUACUUGAAGCAAAACCAUUCAAGGUGAUGAGGAUGCAAUGUGAAGACUUUAGGCACCUCUCAGAUUCUGUCCUCAAGCGACCAGCUGGACUACAGAUCACCUCAGUGAGGUGGUUAAAAUUCACAGUUGAGGAUCCUUGGAAUCUGUACGCCAGACAGAGCCACAGUCUAUUUGAGGGAUGGAAAUCGUGGCUGAGCUCCAAACCAAAACAAGGAGCUACACCUCAACCUCCCUAUUUUGCAAGCCACUAUCCUAGAGCACAUGAGAGUCCUCUGCCCAUCAAAAAAAAACAAGUACCAAGAUCUGACCAUGCUCAACUACUUGCCAGCUGCUGCACGCUCUUUUUAUAAAUCACUGCAGAGUGAAUAAUUUGUUGUUAAACCAAGCUACAUAAUUAACUUUUUUCUGAGUUUAUGAUCCCCUGAACCUGUAUGGUGAAUCUGAAAACAUUUCAGAAGACAUGUCACCCCUAUUGUAGGAAAUUAAAUGUAUAGUAGAUGUUUUCUAUGUGAAUCAAUUUGUGUAUGAUUUGAACCAGCACAAUAUAUUGAAUUAAUAAAAUUAAGAUGUUGUUCCUAGUGUAGAAAAUGUUAUGUACAAUGUGUUCUGUUGAGAAUGAUUUUGUGUGAUCAUUUGAACCUUUUUUAAUUUGAAUUAAUAAAAACAAAUAAUUCAUCACAUUCAGUGUGAGUAUUCAUUUGAUCCCCUUUUUUUUAUUCAUUACAAUACAGUACGUCUCUGUCACCACAUUUAGCAUUAACUCUAAGCAGUUAAUACUUAUUUACUGCUGUCACCUCAGUACAGAAGGACAUUUCUUGCCUUUAGCAUGGGUUUAAUGCAAUUCAAAACUUAAUUACUGAUCAUAGGGUUAAACGCAAUGAGAAUGGUUUUCUGAACGUUUUGUAAUAUUGACCUUAGGGACCUGCAUAAUGGACAUGUCACGUCCUGACCAGUAUAGGGGUCUAUUUGUUAUUGUAGCUUGAUCAGGACGUGGCAGAGGGUAUUUGUUUUCAUGGGUUUGUGUAUAUGUUUAGAUAAGAGGGAUAUUUUGUGUAGUGUUUUUGGGGAUUAUUUGUGUGUGUAUUAUAGAGGGGUUAUUUGAUUUGUGUUGGGUAUGUUGUGUUUUUGUAUUUCUAGGGGCUGUUCUAGUUUUUGUAAUUCUUUGUUGGCCUGGUGUGGCUCUCAAUCAGGAACAGCUGUACAUCGUUGUUCCUGAUUGAGAGUCAUAUUUAGGGAGGUUGUUCACCUGUCGUAUUGUGGAUAGUUGUUUUUGCACUGCUCGUAGUUAUAGCCUGCAAAACUGUUUCCUGUCGUGUUUUCUCUAUUUUCUUGUUUUUCCGUGUUUAAUAAAAUAUGAUGAGCACGCAACCCGCUGUGCCUUGGUCUAAUCUA